GCGGCGCGGCAGGUGGCGGAGUCGUUCGCCGACCUGGAGCGGCUGCUCGGGCCGACCUUCGCCGACCGGCCGCGGUUCGACGACCCGGCGCUGCC
rnacentral:tRNA from 1 species